UACAGAGGUGGCAAGCGUUGUUCGGAAUUACUGGGCGUAAAGGGCGCGUAGGCGGUUCGAUAAGUCCCGUGUGAAAGCCCCCGGCUCAACUGGGGAACUGCACGGGAAACUGACGGACUUGAGUUCGGGAGAGGGAAGCGGAAUUCCGGGUGUAGCGGUGAAAUGCGUAGAUACUGGGAGGAACACCGGUGGCGAAGGCGGCUACCUGGACAGGUACUGACGCUGAGGCGCGAAAGCCAGGGGAGCAAACAGG
rnacentral:rRNA from 1 species